UCCAAAUGAGAGCAGUAAGCUUUACUUUUCAGAAAAUGUAUGCAAGGCAAUUCAGUGACACUACAGAGCUCUAUGUGCAAAUUCAGAAGCAAACCCCAUUCGGUACUUUGCUUCUUUGCAGACUGUUGGAUUGGAUUGCAGUGAGCAUGCCACAACUGCCAACUUUUUUGAAGUGGCAGAGCUACCAAGGCUGCAUGCCUUUCUGAAUUCAUAGCCUCGUUGCGACCUUGUGCUGUUGCAGCGUUCUUUGAAGACAAGGAAAGAGAAGAAGAGAUCCUCUGUCACCUGCUUUCGACAAUGCAGAUACUCAGAGGCCUGAAAGCUUCCAAGCAAAACAGCUGGCAAGCUUGUCUUCUGCAAUNGCUCGGCACAAUCCAAAUCCCUUCAGUACCUGAGCCUGACUUUUACGGUUGGAGGCAAGAUGGAAUGUUUCAGACGGUGCCAUCUUACUGCGUUGACAUCAAAGAAUUCCUUAUGAAAAUUAAGUGCCCAUGUAACGUGGAUGAAAUGGAGACAUUGACUCAUGUUUUAUUUUUCUGCUCUAUGUAUCAAGAUCAUUAAAAAAAAAAAGCCCUUCUUGAACCAUUCAUAAAGAAGUAUCCUGGAAGACCUUUUCAAUGGUUGACCUUUUCUGCUCCUGUUUGCUUCUACUUAUAAUUUAUAACUUGUUAAAUUCAAAACUUAAAUUUCCUUUUGUGUCAACCUUUAAUGCUAUUUUUGUUACUUAUGCCAUUUAUCGUUUAAGUUAGAGUUUUUAAUUUGUAUCAGAACUUUUAAUUGCAUUUAAGAUGAUUCUGUGAAUAUAAUACACUUAAUAAUAAUAGAGGUGUCAUGAAUUGCAAGAAUUUAAUUGAAGCAAAUUGUUGGGUGUAAAUAACAAGAAUUGAAGCACCUUGAUGUUUAUAAAACUCUGGUUGGAGAAGGAGCACCAGUACAUUUAUUAUAUUUAUUUAUUUAUAUUUAUUUAUCUGAAAGGAUUUUUAUACUAUCCUUUAUCAGAGUCCUAGUACAAGGUAUCCAUAGUGGUAUGCAGACUAAAAUCAAAACCAAAGAAGUAGGAAGAAAGAAAGAAAUUUUAAUUAGAUGAUGAUGAUGAUAGAGUUAUGGCAACAGCUAACAAAUAUCUAAAGAAAUUUAUUCUGUAAUUAAUCUCCAAAAGCUUGGAUGAGCAGGUGUCCAUUCACUAGGUGUUGAAAUGAAGCUAACAUUGGUGCCUGGUGAAUCUUGAUAGGGAAACUAUUCCAUAACAACUUUGUCUCCCUGACAAAGGCAUGCCAAAAAUGCUCCCAUGAAGCUUCCAUUUGCAUUUCAGAGCUUUAGCAAUAUCUUGUUAGAAACUCAAAAGGAAAAAAAAAAGAGUUAUUUCCCCUUGCUCCCAGCCCAUGUUUUGUGGCUCACAAGACUUUGCUGUGGCUGCUAUCUGACUCUCAAAAAGCACUUGAUUAACACUGUGUCUGGUUUAGAGCUUACUAACUGGACAGCUUUGGUUUAGAGAUGAUAAAUCAGAAAUAAGCCAGGCCACCUUUCACCAACUCGCUGGAGGGCUGCAUGCAUUUGAUCUCUAUGACUAAAUGUAGACGUGCCUACUAUCAGCUGACAGUGAAGUACCCAGAACUGGUGUGUAUUGAUUUGGUCACUUCUGGAUAUGCCACUACUCUUGGCCACCGCUGGGUGAUCCAUCAACUCUAUACAUGACUGCUGAACACAAGGAAGGAGCAAUUUGUAUUCCCAUAUGGAAGCUGGGUCAGACACCUCCAACUUUAUUGCUGAUAUUUCCAGAAUGAGUGUUGACUUUAAAUAACAGCAACAUCAUCAUCCUUGGAGGAGCAUACAGUAAUAUGGUCCCUCCCCACUUUCAGACUACUGUUUUAUUGCAUGCCUUUUAUGAGUUUUUGUUUUGUUCUGUUUUGUUUUAAUUGUUGUAACCCGCUCUGAGACCUUCGGGUAUAGGGCGGCAUAAAAAUGCAAAUAAAUAAAUAAAUAGGUCUCGAAACUAAUAAUGC
rnacentral:lncRNA from 1 species